CUACGGGACGCUGCAGUGAGGAAUAUUGCGCAAUGGAGGCAACUCUGACGCAGCAACGCCGCGUGAGUGAAGACGGCCCGAUGGGUUGUAAAGCCCUGUAAGUGGGGAAGAGAAGGGUGCUAUAUGCAACUUGGACGGUACCCGCAAAGUAAGCUCCGGCUAACUCCGUGCCAGCAGCCGCGGUAAUACGGGGGGAGCGAGCGUUGUCCGGAUUUAAUGGGCGUAAAGGGCAUGUAGGCGGGACAGUAAGUCAGUGGUGAAAUGUAACGGCUCAACCGUUAACCUGCCAUUGAAACUACUGUUCUUGAGUUCAGGAGAGGGAAACGGAAUUCCAGGUGUAGCGGUGGAAUGCAUAGAUAUCUGGAAGAACACCGAAUGCGAAGGCAGUUUCCUGGCCAUGGACUGACGCUGAUGUGCGAAAGCGUGGGUAGCAAACAGGAUUAGAUACCCGUGUAGUC
rnacentral:rRNA from 1 species